AUUGAACGCUGGCGGAAUGCUUUACACAUGCAAGUCGAACGGCAGCACGGACUUCGGUCUGGUGGCGAGUGGCGAACGGGUGAGUAAUACAUCGGAACGUGCCCAAUCGUGGGGGAUAACGUAGCGAAAGCUACGCUAAUACCGCAUACGAUCUAAGGAUGAAAGCGGGGGAUCGCAAGACCUCGCGCGAUUUGAGCGGCCGCUGGCAGAUGAGGUAGUUGGUAGGGUAAAGGCCUACCAAGCCGAAGAUCUGUAGCUGGUAUGAGAGGAUGAUCAGCCACACUGGGACGGAGACACGGCACAGACUCCUACGGGAGGCAGCAGUGGGGAAUUUUGGACAAUGGACGCAAGUCUGAUCCAGCCAUUCCGCUUGCAGGAUGAAGGCCCUCGGGUUGUAAACUGCUUUUGUACAGAACGAAAAGGUUUCUACUAAUACUAGGAGCUCAUGACGGUACUGUAAGAAUAAGCACCGGCUAACUACGUGCCAGCCGCCGCCGUAA
rnacentral:rRNA from 1 species